UUCUGCAUUGUUCUGGUGUGCGUUCUAAGACUUGUGGAUUCGGUGGAAAGAUCCGAAACAGGAAUUUCACGGUUUCACUGAAUGUGGUGAAGCCGCGUGGCUCCGUCUGUAAAUACUGACAAACCAGAAAAUCAUCAGAGCCCAUUUGAGUGAGAACCAAACACUAUUAAGAACUAGCUGACCUAAGUUAAUGCUUAAUAAUAAGCAAGAGUAAUGUAGUAAUUGCAGAUACAGUAGAAGAUACAAGAAUAAACAACCUAUGACAAUUUGUUAAUCACCUGUUUUUACAACGUCAUCAACUGACAACUGGCUUGUCAAGGUUUUACAAAACGGUUACGGGUUUUUUUCCUUCUCAAAUGAACAAAGAAGCGACACACACUUCACCAGACAAAUCUGUGUGAACCAGAAAGAAAAUCCAAGAGCAGCAGUGAGAUCAGAUUGGAUGGUUCGCAUAUGCUGUCACAUACUGUAAGAGUAAUUGGUGGAAACAAGUGACGGAAGGUAGGUAGGUGAGUACAUAGAUGGAUGGAUGGAUGGAUGAAUGGAUAGAUACAAUACGACUUUAUUACAGUUUUUGCCUACUGCAAAUGCUCAGACCAAUACUUAAACUUCUUUUAGCAUAAUGUUAAACACAGUAUAACCAAAGCUUAAACACAUUUUCAGCUUUGCACUUUGGUUUCAUUUUUGUAACACACUUAUUGCGAAACACUGCACAUACUGUACAGAACGAGGACGUGGGCGAGGACCAGCGUGAGACGUGUAUCAGAUGAAAUCAGCGCCCCUCCAUUCACUACACGCAGCUGUGCAGCACAGCCCAGAGCAGCCCAGCAGUGGAAGAGGCACGCGGAGAAUUUGAGGUGGAUUCAACACACAAGGCCAUAUUUUCCCCGAUGCCCGUGAGAACAUCGCCUGUGAUGUGGAUGAGGUCUUGAGGUCAGACCCACAAUGAAGACGGGAUCCAUGAGCCCCCCCACCACACACAAAAUGUUUCUUCUGGAUCUUUUGUUGAUACAUUUCUGUAAGAAUUUUUUGUGUGUAAAAACUAUAGUUUGAUUACUGCAGAAAUGCUAUGUCUCAGUUUUACUGAAGACGUCUGAGCAAAUUAGAAUUAAAAAUGGAAACAAAAAGACAGUUGUUUCAGGUGGGAAUUAACGAGGCGUGAACCAUCUAAUCCUAAAAAAGUGUUGUGCGUUGUUUCUACAAAGCCUCAUCCAGCUUUGAGUUCUACUUGAACCUGACACACAAAAAUGUGAAGAGAAGGGAAAAUCACACAUCAACUCACCUUCCACCAGUAGAAACUAGCUGCAGACAGAUUGCUUCCUUCUGACAAAAACACUUCCACAGACUCGUUGAAGCGCCUCAGAAACCAUGUGUCAUUUUUGGACAAACACUUCCCGCAAUCGCAGGCGCUUUUGUCACGCUGCUGGAAAAAGUCCUGGGAAAAUUCGGGUUCUCCGAAAAACACCCCGAUGGCAGCGAUGCACAGCAGGAAGGUGAAGACAGUGAUGAAGUGUUUUGGAGGCAUGGAGGCCAUUAGGUCCCGGUGAUCAGCAGUCAGCCUUCAGUCUGUAGACACAGAUGUGAAAGAGGUUUGAGCUCAAAAAACACAGCUGCUUAAAAAAAAAAAAGAACUUGUUUAAAAAUGGAAAGAAUGUAUGUUGAAUGAGGUCAAAGGCAAUAU